rnacentral:rRNA from 1 species
UACGGAGGAGGCAAGCGUUAUCCGGAAUUAUUGGGCGUAAAGCGUCCGCAGGUGGCACCUCAAGUCUGCUGUCAAAAACCGGGGCUUAACCCCAGAAAGGCAGUGGAAACUGAAGUGCUAGAGUGCAGUAGGGGUAGAGGGAAUUCCCGGUGUAGCGGUGAAAUGCGUAGAGAUCGGGAAGAACAUCGGUGGCGAAAGCGCUCUGCUGGACUGCAACUGACACUCAGGGACGAAAGCUAGGGGAGCGAAUGGG